rnacentral:rRNA from 1 species
AUUGAACGCUGGCGGCAGGCCUACCACAUGCAAGUCGCACGAGUGGCGGACGGGUGAGUAAUGUCUGGGAAACUGCCCGAUGGAGGGGGAUAACUACUGGAAACGGUAGCUAAUACCGCAUACCAUCGGGUGUGCCAAGAUGGGAUUAGCUAGUAGGUGGGGUAACGGCUCACCUAGGCGACGAGCCCUAGCUGGUCUGAGAGGAUGACCAGCAACACUGGAACUGAGACACGGUCCAGACUCCUACGGGAGGCAGCAGGGGGGAAUAUUGCACAAGGGGCGCAAGCCUGAUGCAGCCAUGCCGCGUGUAUGAAGAAGGCCUUCGGGUUGUAAAGUACUUUCAGCGAGGAGGCGUUACUCGCAGAAGAAGCACCGGCUAACUCCGUGCCAGCCGCCGCGGUAAUAC